CCUACGGGAGACUGCAGUGAGGAAUAUUGGUCAAUGGACGCAAGUCUGAACCAGCCAUGCCGCGUGCAGGAAGACGGCUCUAUGAGUUGUAAACUGCUUUUGUACGAGGGUAAACGCAGCUACGUGUAUCUUUCUGAACGUAUCGUACGAAUAAGGAUCGGCUAACUCCGUGCCAGCAGCCGCGGUAAUACGGAGGAUUCAAGCGUUAUCCGGAUUUAUUGGGUUUAAAGGGUGCGUAGGCGGUCGGAUAAGUUAGAGGUGAAAUCCCGAGGCUCAACUUCGGAAUUGCCUCUGAUACUGUUCGGCUAGAGAGCAGUUGCGGUAGGCGGAAUGUAUGGUGUAGCGGUGAAAUGCUUAGAGAUCAUACAGAACACCGAUUGCGAAGGCAGCUUACCAAGCUACUUCUGACGUUGAGGCACGAAAGCGUGGGGAGCAAACAGGAUUAGAUACCCGUGUAGUC
rnacentral:rRNA from 1 species